CGACCAACCCGGCCAACCCACACCGAAAAUGGGCCGAACAACCCACUAAAAUUUGGGCCGAAGUUGAAAUGGGUUGGAAUUUUAGCAACCUGUGUUCAUUGGGUCGGAAACGGGCCAGAGCUUUUGUGGCCCAAUCAACCCAACCCGGGCCGGCCUUUAUUUGUUUUUUUUUUUUAAAAAAAUACAUAUUAUAUAUACUGAAUAUCAUAUAAUAACCCCUCUCUCUUAUCUUAUAUUACAAACCCUAACCCUAACCCUCACAUAAACUACCGCCUCCCUCCCUCUAUUGACUCAGACCCAAACUUCCUCCCCUCCCCCGACGCACGCUCCAGGACACAUUGCCUUCUUGGCUGGGAAAGGCUCAUGCAAAGUCAGCAGGGACAAAGAAAUACCAGGGACCAAAGGAGAAGAAGGCCAUUGAAAAUCAUAAUUGAUGAUUAUGUAAAUAUUAGAUUUUAUUUACAAAUUUGUAAUCACUAUCUAGUUGGUAGUACUUUUAUUGGAUGACUGUAAAUUUUUAAUGUGUAGAGCUUUGAAUUACUUUAUCUAUGUUUAAAUUUUUUAUGUUCAGUUCA